rnacentral:lncRNA from 1 species
CAGAGAGUUACUCAGUUUUCGACCAUUACAACAAAAUAUCUGGGAUGACUUGUAUAUAAUACAACAGGUUGAUUUCUGUUCACAGUUCUACUGGCUCCAGUCCAAGAGGAGGGAAUAUUCUUUUGGGCCCUUGAUACAUUGUGAAGUACCUGGCCAAAUUCCAUGUCCAAUGAUCAAAACAGAGUGGAUUCUACAAAUCUCCCCAGGACUGCCUAACAGCCCCAAAUUUCUACACAUUCUAUCAUCUUCUAAGAAAACAAAACAAACCAAACAUAAACAAAAACAAAAAAACCCUGAGGAACAAGGGUUUAAAAUUUGGGCUUUUGAAGAGGACCCUAAAUUUCCAUAUGACAGUGUUCACACUUUAAUACUGAAAUAUCUGUUGGUAAUUAACAAGUAGCAUACCGAGCAUAUUCUAUGUUCAGUAAUUUUCCUAAAUGCUGGUGAUAUGAUAAAAACGAAACAAG